rnacentral:lncRNA from 1 species
ACCGCUCUACGCCGCAUUGAUCCAUGCAGGAAUAAUUGUAAAGAGUUUCCAGGAUUUCUUUUACUAUCAGAAAAACAACACCCUGGAAUCACUUUGCCUGUGGUUUAUAGUGAAAACAGCCGUCUGAGCAUUUUGAGCCAAUAGCUUUGGAUAAGGUGUGUAAUUUGUUUGGUGCUAAGUUCUGUGACAUGAAAAGUAAAUUACAAUUGGGAAGGAUAGUGGGAAGAGGGAUACCAUUAUUAAAGAAAAAGAAGAAAAGAAAAAAAUAUUGUUUCAGCAGCAAGGAUUUUUGAGGUUUAAUUCUUCUCCCCACUCCAAAUUUGCUGGCUUGAGGCUACUCAUCGCUUCAUUGCCACCCAUAAAAGCACAUGGAUUUUAAGCUGAUGAAAAAGAUGGACAUGGAUUAUGCCUUUUCCUCUGCCAAUGCUAUGAGAAUACCUUGGUUCACUAGAAGAAAUGCUGACAGGUGGUUUCCCUGCACAAGCCCUCUUCUUUUGUGUGGCACCAUGUGAGAUGUGCCUUUCACCUUCCACCAUGAUUGUCAGACCUCCCCAGCCACAUGGAACCCACUUGUCCCAACUACCUGCUUCUGGCUUUGUUUUGCCUAAAGCUGUGAAAAAUAUUAUUCAAACACAAGAUGGCAAACUGAAGAAUGAAAAAUCAACAUGUAUCAAAUGAUGAAGGGGAAAGAUGGAAGAAGCCUGGGUUCUUGAUGGCAUCAUUGAACCCUCCAUGCAAGGCCAGCAACCAAGCUGUCAUUAACUAAAGCUAGAUGCAUUAUUAUGUUCAAGGAAUGAACCCUUAUCUGAUUAAAUUACUGCCAUCUAGGUUUUCUGUUACCUGCAGAUGAGCCAUCCUGAUGCUCAAUAUCAUAGAAUUAUUCUGAAAGUUAAAUGAAAUAAUGCAUGCAUAAUUGCUUAAAUAACUACAGAUAUACUGUUUAAAGAGGUAACACAGGGCAAUGGAAAAGGCAUUGGACUUGAACUCUGACUAAUUUAGCCUGGAAUCCUAGAAAGUCACCUUAUUAGACCUUCUUCAUAGGAAAAUGUAAACAAUCUCUGUGUGUCAGUUGUGUCAUCUCUAAAAUGGAAAUAAUUAGCAUCUUGGAGGAUUGUUGUAAAGGGUAAGGGAGAUAAGAUAUGGGAAAGCUCAUGGCAUAGGGCUUGAUACAUGUUAUUCAAUAAACAUAAGUUAGGGAGAAAAAUUAGCAAGUAGCAGUGUGGUCUGCCCCAAGUGAACACACUUCCUUUAUCUGAGUCAGAUUACACUGCCCCUUGAACCUUUACAACACUAAACAAAAUUUAGAGCACUAGGAGAUACUUCAGAGUGUCCUAUUAAUAAAAGUAGUGGAAGGAUAGUUUUUUUUUUUCUAAUUCUGUGAAGAACAUUAAUGGUAGUUUAAUGGGACUGGCAUUGAAUCUAUAGAUUACUUUGAAAAGUAUGGCCAUUUUCACAAUAUUGAUUCUUCCUAUCCAUGAGCAUGGAAUGUUUUUCCUUUUGUUUGUGUCCUCUCUGAUUUCUUUGAGGAUCAGUUUGUAGUUCUCUUUGAAGAGGUUCCUCACUUUCCUUCUCAGCUGUAUUCCUAGGUAUCUUUUUUUUUUGUAGCAAUUGUGAAUGGGAGUUCAUUCAUGAUUCAUCUCUCUGCUUGCCUAUUGAUGGUGUAUAGGAAUGCUAGAGAUUUUGCACAUUGAUUUUGUAUCCUGAGGCUUUGCUGAAGUUGCUUCUCAGCUUAAGAAGCUUUUGGGCUGAGAAAAUGGGGUUUUUUUAGGUAUAGGAUCACGCCAUCUGUAAACAAAGAUAAUUUGACUUCCUCUCUUUCUAUUUACCCUUUAUUUCUUUAUCUUGUCUGAUUGCCCUGGCCAGAACUUCCAAUACUAUAUUGAAUAAGAGUGGUAAAAGAGGGCAUUCUUGUCUUCUACCACUUUAAAAGCCAUAUGGAACCAAAAAUGAGCCCAAAUAGCCAAGACAAUCCUAAACAAAAAGAACAAACCUGGAGGCACCAUACUACCCAACUUCGAACUAUGCUACAAGGUUAUAGUAACCAAAACAGCAUGAUACUGGUACAAAAACAGGCACAUAGACCAAAGGAAUGAAAAGAGAACUCAGAAAUAAGACUGCACACCUACAACCAUCUGAUCUUCAACAAACCUGACAAAAACAAGCAAUGGGAAAAGAACUCUUUAUUUAAUAAAUGAUACUGGGAGAACUGGUUAGCCAUACACAGAAAAUUGAAAUUGGACCCCUUCCUUACACCUUAUACAGAAAUUAACUCAAGAUGAAUUGAAGACUUAAAUGUUGAUAUGGUUUGGCUCUGGAUCCCCACCCAAAUCUCACCUUGAAUUGUAAUCUCCAUAAUCCCCACAUGUCAAGGGCAGGACAGGGUGGAGGUAAUUGGAUCAGGGUGGUGGUUUCCCCCAUGCUGUUCUCAUGAUAAUGAGUGAGUUCUCAUGAGAUCUGAUGGUUUUAUAAGGGGCUCUUUUCCCUUUGCUUAACACUUCUCCUUCCUUCCACCUUGUGAGGAAACUGCUUUGCUUCCCCUUUACCUUCUGCCAUGAUUGUAAGUUUCCUGAGGCUUUCCCAGCCAUGCUGAACUGUGAGUUAAUUAAACCUCUUUCAUUUCUAUUAAUAAAU